GAUGAACGCUGGCGGCGUGCUUAAUACAUGCAAGUCGAGCGAACAGACGAGGAGCUUGCUCCUUUGUCGUUAGCGGCGGACGGGUGAGUAACACGUGGAUAACCUACUUAUAAGACUGGGAUAAUUUCGGGAAACCGGAGCAAAUACCGGAUAAUAUAUUGAACCGCAUGGUUCAAUGGUGAAAGACGGCUUUGCUGUCACUUAUAGAUGGAUCCGCGCCGCAUUAGCUAGUUGGUAAGGUAACGGCUUACCAAGGCGACGAUGCGUAGCCGAACUGAGAGGGUGAUCGGCCACACUGGAACUUAGACACGGUCCAUACUCCUACGGGAGGCAGCAGUAUGGAAUCUGCCGCAAAGGGCGAAAGCAUGACGGAGCAACGCCGCGUGAGUGAUGAAGGUCUUCGGAUCGUAAAACUCUGUUAUGAGGGAAGAACAAAUGUGUAAGUAACUAUGCACGUCUUGACGGUACCUAAUCAGAAAGCCACGGCUAACUACGUG
rnacentral:rRNA from 1 species